rnacentral:rRNA from 1 species
ACCGUCCCAGCCCUUUCGUUUACUCUGGCGACGGUGUUGGCGGCGAUCCCAGCGUGGUUCAGUGGCGCUAUGUGGAGAUGGAGGCUCACGCGCAUCAUGCGGUUGGUGGAUCUCGGCUGCUGCGGCCAUGUCGAUGGCGGCGGAGGCGAGGGACCCACGCUUGCUGGUGUCGUGAUUUCAGUGGGCCGGAGCUGCUGGAGGUGAGGACCGGAGGUGCUCCUUUCCGCGCGUUGUCUCCGUCAGCCACCUCGACCCCUGGUGGAGGGGCGGUCCCAAGUCUCACCGACGGUUUCUUGGUGCGUGGCCCCGUGUCGACGGCGGCAGAUAGACCGGCUGUAUGCCUGGUCGUGCUGCUGUUUUGGAGGGUAGGAGAUCAGGCUCGCGGGUGCCCGCGCCCAAUCUGAAGCCGGGAGGGAGACGCUCUUGUGUAGUUGUGUGUGCCCAUCGUCGCUGCAGCAGCUCCGCUCGUGCACGCCAGCAAGAGCUCCGCCGCCAGCUCCUGUCGCUUUGGGUCUUACAUCAUCUGCCGCAUCCCCAAACAUCAUCGACUGUGGCCCUAUCCGGUGAGCACCAACCUCUCUUUUUUGCUUGUAACUAGAUGCUGCUUUGUGGCACCACAAGAAAUAUGUCAACUUGUGACCCUUGCUAUUGGGCAUUGAAAGGUCAUUGUUUUCAUUUGCGACUUUUUUGUGACCAAAAACAGAAGGUCAAAAGCUGGCAGUCGUAAACUGAAAUUAGUGACCUUCUUUGUGAUAUGUAAAAGGUCGUUGGUUCCAUGACCAAAUUUUUGGUCACUAGCAACCUCCCCAUGCCACGUAGGCAUCCAGCGUGGCAAGCUGGUGUGACACAAGAUUCAGCCCGGUCCAAUUCGGUUUUCUACAUGGGCCUAGCCCAACAAUUCAGCCUUUUUACUGUAUAUUUUCUCUAUUAAUUUUCUCUAGCUAUAUGGGCCUAGCCCAACAAUUUGGCAUUUUUAUUUUCUAGGCAUGGCCUUUUGCGG